rnacentral:tRNA from 1 species
GGGCUGUUAGCUCAGCUGGUAGAGCAGCUGACUCUUAAUCAGCGGGUCGUAGGUUCGAAACCUACACAGCCCA